rnacentral:rRNA from 1 species
ACGGGUGAGUAAUGUCUGGGAAACUGCCUGAUGGAGGGGGAUAACUACUGGAAACGGUAGCUAAUACCGCAUAACGUCGCAAGACCAAAGAGGGGGACCUUCGGGCCUCUUGCCAUCAGAUGUGCCCAGAUGGGAUUAGCUAGUAGGUGGGGUAAUGGCUCACCUAGGCGACGAUCCCUAGCUGGUCUGAGAGGAUGACCAGCCACACUGGAACUGAGACACGGUCCAGACUCCUACGGGAGGCAGCAGUGGGGAAUAUUGCACAAUGGGCGCAAGCCUGAUGCAGCCAUGCCGCGUGUGUGAAGAAGGCCUUCGGGUUGUAAAGCACUUUCAGCGAGGAGGAAGGUGGUGAACUUAAUACGUUCAUCAAUUGACGUUACUCGCAGAAGAAGCACCGGCUAACUCCGUGCCAGCAGCCGCGGUAAUACGGAGGGUGCAAGCGUUAAUCGGAAUUACUGGGCGUAAAGCGCAC